rnacentral:rRNA from 1 species
AGAGUUUGAUCCUGGCUCAGGAUGAACGCUAGCGACAGGCUUAACACAUGCAAGUCGAGGGGCAGCGGGGGCGUAGCAAUAUGCCUGCCGGCGACCGGCGCACGGGUGAGUAACACGUAUGUAACCUGCCCUAUGCAGGGGGAUAACCCGGAGAAAUCCGGCCUAAUACCGCGUAACACCUUAGGGGAGCAUUCUCUUGAGGUUAAAGGAGAGAUCCGGCAUAGGAUGGACAUGCGUCGCAUUAGGUAGACGGCGGGGUAACGGCCCACCGUGCCGACGAUGCGUAGGGGUUCUGAGAGGAAGGCCCCCCACACUGGUACUGAGACACGGACCAGACUCCUACGGGAGGCAGCAGUGAGGAAUAUUGGUCAAUGGCCGAGAGGCUGAACCAGCCAAGUCGCGUGAGGGAAGAAUGUCCUAAGGAUUGUAAACCUCUUUUGUCGGGGAGCAAAAAGGCUCUGCGGAGUCGUAUUGAGAGUACCCGAAGAAAAAGCAUCGGCUAACUCCGUGCCAGCAGCCGCGGUAAUACGGAGGAUGCGAGCGUUAUCCGGAUUUAUUGGGUUUAAAGGGUGCGCAGGCGGCGUGUCAAGCAAGCGGUAAAAUAGCGGGGCUCAACCCCGUCGAGCCGUUUGAACUGGCGCGCUUGAGUUCAGGCGAGGUAGGCGGAAUUUGUGGUGUAGCGGUGAAAUGCAUAGAUAUCACGAAGAACUCCGAUUGCGAAGGCAGCUUACCAGUCUGCGACUGACGCUCAGGCACGAAAGUGUGGGUAUCGAACAGGAUUAGAUACCCUGGUAGUCCACACAGUAAACGAUGAGCGCUAGGUGUCCGGGUCGCAUGAGACUUGGGUGCCCGAGCGAAAGCGUUAAGCGCUCCACCUGGGGAGUACGCCGGCAACGGUGAAACUCAAAGGAAUUGACGGGGGCCCGCACAAGCGGAGGAACAUGUGGUUUAAUUCGAUGAUACGCGAGGAACCUUACCCGGGCUCAAACGACUCAGGAAUAUAUUGGAAACGAUGUAGCCAGCAAUGGUCUGAGUCGAGGUGCUGCAUGGUUGUCGUCAGCUCGUGCCGUGAGGUGUCGGCUUAAGUGCCAUAACGAGCGCAACCCCUACCGCCAGUUGCCAACGGGUAAAGCCGGGAACUCUGGCGGGACUGCCGGCGCAAGCUGCGAGGAAGGCGGGGAUGACGUCAAAUCAGCACGGCCCUUACGUCCGGGGCGACACACGUGUUACAAUGGCAGGUACAGCGGGAAGCCACCUGGUGACAGGGAGCGGAACCCGAAAGCCUGUCUCAGUUCGGAUUGGAGUCUGCAACUCGACUCCAUGAAGCUGGAUUCGCUAGUAAUCGCGCAUCAGCCAUGGCGCGGUGAAUACGUUCCCGGGCCUUGCACACACCGCCCGUCAAG